UUGUUGUUGUUGGUGCUGAAGCCUUCAACAACUCUCCCCGGUUGACGAUGGUGGUGUUGUCUGUUUAUGGAAGCUGCCGUUCGUUCACUUCAACAUGCCGGACCGACUAGUUUUAAUUU
ensembl:ncRNA K02A4.6 ncRNA